rnacentral:rRNA from 1 species
GAUGAACGCUAGCUACAGGCUUAACACAUGCAAGUCGAGGGGUAACGAGAGGGAAGCUUGCUUUCCUUGUCGACGACCGGCGCACGGGUGAGUAACGCGUAUCCAACCUGCCCCCAACUAGGGAAUAACCUUGCGAAAGUAAGACUAAUACCCUAUGAUUUCCUCAGAUGUCAUCUGACGAGGAAUAAAGAUUUAUCGGUUGUGGAUGGGGAUGCGUCUGAUUAGCUUGUGGGCGGGGUAACGGCCCACCAAGGCAAAGAUCAGUAGGUGUUCGUAGAGGAAGGUCCCCAACAGUGGAACUGAGACACGGUCCAAAGUACUACGGGAGGCAGCAGUGAGGAAUAUUGGUCAAUGGGCGGAAGCCUGAACCAGCCAAGUAGCGUGCAGGAUGACGGCCCUAUGGGUUGUAAACUGCUUUUAUACAGGAAUAAAGUUAGCCACGUGUGGUUAUUUGUAGGUACUGUAUGAAUAAGGACCGGCUAAUUCCGUGCCAGCCGCCGCGGUAA